rnacentral:rRNA from 1 species
UACGUAGGGUGCGAGCGUUGUCCGGAAUUACUGGGCGUAAAGAGCUCGUAGGCGGCCUGUCGCGUCGGAUGUGAAAGCCCGGGGCUUAACCCCGGGUCUGCAUUCGAUACGGGCAGGCUAGAGUUCGGUAGGGGAGAUCGGAAUUCCUGGUGUAGCGGUGAAAUGCGCAGAUAUCAGGAGGAACACCGGUGGCGAAGGCGGAUCUCUGGGCCGAUACUGACGCUGAGGAGCGAAAGCGUGGGGAGCGAACAGG